UAAAAAUUGGGUGUUAAUAGCUGCCCCUUCAUUUUUUGAGAAUGAUAAAAGAAUUUUCAAACAACGAAAGUUGACGUAGUAGCCAAUUUUGUUCGACCGGGAAGGAUUCGUUGGAAUUAAGGCAACAAGAGGUGUUUAAAAAUAGUGUGGCCAAGACUUUGGAUUUAAGUCGCCAACAUAUCUCUAUUUUUACGAGAAUCAGGCCGUGUGUAGUUCUAGAUUUAGGAAUGAACAAUAUUCCCAAGGAAAAUAUUAAUGACCAGGGUUGGGGUGUCAACAAAUGGUACCGUGGAUUGAUGAGACGAUAAUGAAUAGAAUUUGGAAUAAUGACGUAUAGAGAAGUUUGAGAGUGUGAGAUAGUAGAGUUUAACGAUGAGUUCACGCGAUGGAGUAAUGUUUCGAAAAUAGAAACACAAAUUAUCUAUGUUUAUUAUUCCUUCUCCGUUACCUGCAUCUUUAUAUCACACUAAAUAACAGGGUAAGAAAUAAACAUUUGACAAGCGUAACAUAAUUAUGAAAAUAAAGAAAGUGUAUCUAUUUUAUCGGAAAUCGUGUGAUCAGUUGUUUGGCUUCUCAUCGUGGGAUCAGUUUUUGGGGCUUCUCCGUACAUUAUAAAAUCAUGGGAUCAACAUUUGAGUUUCUCCGGAUCAACAUUGGGGCUUCUUUAUCUUCGGAUCGGCAUUGGACUUCUAUAUCAUCGGAUUAGUAUUUGAGCUUUCUCCAUCGUCAGAUCAUCAUUGGGUUUCUCUAUCGUCGGAUCAGCAUUUGAGCUUCCCCAUCGUGUGAUCAGCAUUGGAGCUUCUCCAUUGUUGGAUCAGCAUUGGGGAUUCUCCAUCGUCGGGUCAUCACUGGAGCUUCUCCAUCGUCGGGUCAUCACUAGAGCUUCUCCAUCAUCGGUUCAGCAUUUGGGCUUCCCCAUCGUCGGAUCAGUAUUGGAUCUUCUCCAUCGAGCUUCUCCAUUGUCCAAUCAGCAUUGGGGUUUCUCCAUCGUUGGAUCAGCAUUGAGUUUUCCAUCAUCGGAUCAGCAUUGGGCUUCUCCAUCUUCGGAUCAACAUUUUAGCUUCUCCAUUUUCGGAUCAGCAUUGAAGUUUCUCCAUUGUCGGAUCAGCAUUGGGGAUUCUCCAUUGUCGGAUCAACAUUGAUCUUUUCCAUCGUCAGUUCGGCAUUUGAGCUUCUCUAUCGUUGGAUCAACAUUGGGCUUCUACAUUGUUGGAUCAGAAUUAGAGUUUCUCUAUUGUCGGAUCAGUAUUUGAGCUUUUCCAUCAUGAAAUUGUGACCUAUACCUGCCACUUGUAGCUUAACUCGACAGAAAUGAUUAGUAAGAAUAUAUGUGUGUGCAUAGAGGAUUGAACCUUGUAGCAAACAAACAUAACAGUAAAGAUAAGGGAAGAUAGGAAAGUGUAUUUGUCUUGUUGUCGGAUCAACUGUGCGGCUUCUCGUCAUGAUGUUGGAUUAUCUAUCGUGUUCCUUCGUGAUAAAGUGAUUCCUAUCACCUUAUAUCGUUGGGUCUCUUGUGAUGGAGUGAUUGUUAUCCUCUGUUCCUGUUACUUGCUCCUGUACUCAAAG
rnacentral:lncRNA from 1 species